AGAGUUUGAUCAUGGCUCAGGAUCAACGCUGGCGGCGUGCCUAAUGCAUGCAAGUCGAACGGUGGGGCUUCGGUCCCGCCGUGGCGAACGGCUGAGGAACACGUGCGUACCGACCCUCCUGUGGGGAAUACCGGCGGGAAACCGCUGCGAAUACCGCAUACGUUCGCGUGAGCGAAGAAAGCCUUCGGGCGCAGGGGGAUGGGCGCGCGGCCCAUCAGGUAGAUGGCGGGGUAAUGGCCCACCAUGCCAGUGACGGGUCGCUGGUCUGUGAGGACGGCCAGCCAGACUGGGACUGCGACACGGCCCAGACACCUACGGGUGGCAGCAGCAAGGAAUCUUCGGCAAUGGGCGCAAGCCUGACCGAGCAACGCCGCGUGGAGGACGACGGCCUUCGGGUUGUAAACUCCUUUUCUGCGGGAUGAUACGGACCGUACCGUAGGAAUAAGCCCCGGCUAACUCUGUGCCAGCAGCCGCGGUAAGACAGAGGGGGCAAGCGUUGUCCGGACUUACUGGGCGUACAGCGCGCGCAGGCGGCUGGGUAUGUGACCGGUGACAUCGUUCCGCUCAACGGAACGCGGCCCGGUUAGACAGCUUGGCUGGAGGCCGAGAGAGGGAUGUGGAAUGCCCGGUGGAGCGGUGAAAUGCGUAGAGAUCGGGCGGAACACCAGCGGCGAAGGCGGCAUCCUGGCUCGGACCUGACGCUGAGGCGCGAGAGCGUGGGGAGCAAACGGGAUUAGAUACCCCGGUAGUCC
rnacentral:rRNA from 1 species